rfam:Triticum urartu cultivar G1812 contig977123, whole genome shotgun sequence.
GACAUAUUCCCUCCGUCCGGAAUUACUUGUCGCAAAAAUGGAUGAAAAUGGAUAUAUCUAGAACUAAAAUACAUCUAGAUACAUCCAUUUUCCUGACAAGUAUUUCUGGACGGAGGGAGUACAAA